CAUGGACAAAACGCCUUAUGUUCUCUUGGAGCGAAUCAACGCCGAUUUACAGCGGGCGUUCGAGCAUGGGCUUCAGCAGAUUCCCAUCGCCAAAAGGAGGCCAAUAGUCCUUGUCGAAAAGCUGCCUGUCGCUGUUACAAAUAAACUGCGACAAAGUGGGGAUAACCCAAGUGGGCAGCCAGCAAGAAAAAUUCCCAAAAGAAAGCUGUCACCAGGUCCUUCAAGGCGACCCUGCCCCGACACACCGAGCAAACGUGUCUGUUCCAGCACUAAAGGCUCUCAGGCCCUGUCCACAACCUCAUCUGUGGGUAUUUCUGAGAGCAAUGGAAGACAGAAAGAGGGAUCGGUCAAGAAAAACCUGGCUGUGCUCCUCGGUGUCCGGAGCAGGGGAGUUCCAGUCGUUAAACUUGAGCGUCUCCAGACUGACAGUGUACAAGCAUUGUGACAUGCCCUUUCAAGACAAUGUGACAGCAGAUUCCCAAUCACCUGGCAACGAGAAAGUAAAUUCUGAAGACUCUGAUACUGAGUGUGAUCUUCCCAAGUUCUCAAAAGCAAGUCGCAGAUGGAAGACUGGCCACAGCCCCCGCAAGAUUACUGCCGUUGGGUACACGGAGACAGAAUCCUCGGACGACAACUGGUCCGUGUCUUUAUUACGAGUGCACAGGAAACAAGAUCCUAAGGCGCAUUUCUGCCAACUUACUUUGGUGGCUGUUCCCUUGACUGCUGUUUGAAGGAUACACUACGCAGAAUGGGCAAACCUAAGGAUGAAGCCUUCUUGGGACUCCUUGGCUUCACAUUAUGUAUGUUGCUGCCAUGGUGGUAACUGGUGGGUAAUGACACCUAUCAGCUAUUGCAAGUGCAGUUGCACAAUCUCUUAUUACUCACGUGCCCUUUCCCCAUAGGUAUUUCAUUGUGACCAACAUACACCCAGAAUAGUAAAGUACUCUCAGUGUUAUGAUUAACUGUAGGAUGAAGCGCUGUACACAAAGUAGUUACAGAGGUAAAUCUGAAGGACAUGCUAACAUUGUUGAUCAAGGAACUCAUUAGUUUAUCUACCGGCAUGUCAUAAUUCGUUGCAGUGAGAGUCACCUGGUAGUUGCUUCAUUGCAGGACAAGAUGUUUUGUAUUUUUUGGAAAAAAAUAAAUAUUUAGGAUU
rnacentral:lncRNA from 1 species